rnacentral:rRNA from 1 species
UACGUAGGGUGCGAGCGUUAAUCGGAAUUACUGGGCGUAAAGCGUGCGCAGGCGGCUUCGCAAGUCAGACGUGAAAUCCCCGGGCUUAACCUGGGAAUGGCGUUUGAAGCUACGGAGCUGGAGUGUGGCAGAGGGAGGUAGAAUUCCACGUGUAGCGGUGAAAUGCGUAGAUAUGUGGAGGAAUACCGAUGGCGAAGGCGGCCUCCUGGGCCAACACUGACGCUCAUGCACGAAAGCGUGGGGAGCAAACAGG